rnacentral:rRNA from 1 species
UACGUAGGGUGCAAGCGUUAAUCGGAAUUACUGGGCGUAAAGCGUGCGCAGGCGGUUCUAUAAGACAGAUGUGAAAUCCCCGGGCUUAACCUGGGAAUGGCGAUGGUGACUGCAAGGCUAGAGUUUGGCAGAGGGGGGUAGAAUUCCACGUGUAGCAGUGAAAUGCGUAGAGAUGUGGAGGAACACCAAUGGCGAAGGCAGCCCCCUGGGUCAAGACUGACGCUCAUGCACGAAAGCGUGGGGAGCAAACAGG